rnacentral:rRNA from 1 species
UACAGAGGGUGCGAGCGUUGUCCGGAAUCACUGGGCGUAAAGGGCGCGUAGGCGGGCUGCCGCGUCCGGGGUGAAAUCCCACGGCUCAACCGUGGAACGGCCCCGGGUACGGGCGGCCUCGAGGGGGGUAGGGGCGUGCGGAACUGUGGGUGGAGCGGUGAAAUGCGUUGAUAUCCACAGGAACUCCGGUGGCGAAGGCGGCACGCUGGACCCCCCACUGACGCGUGAGGCGCGGAAAAGCCAGGGGAGCGAACGGGG